rnacentral:tRNA from 1 species
GAUGAAGUGGCUGAAAUAUUAGGCGAUAAAUUGUAAAUUUAUUCAUGGUUUAAAAUAACCCUUCAUCA